GUUAUUCAGGGGAACGCUUUCGAUUUUUAUUGUGGGUAGCCUGCACAAAGACCGUGUUAUUGUAUUUAAAAGAACCAUCUGUAGCAGAAACAAUGGCAUCAAAUUAUCUUUGAAUACCCACUGAAAAAAACAUAAAGCUUUUUUUUUUUAUUCUUCUUCUGUACGGUGGGGGGAUAGAGCAGUGUUAGGAUAACUGACUUUUUUGUUGUUCUCUGGGUGCAUUCUUCUCGCUCCCCCUCUCUCCCCCUCACCCUCUCUCUUCUCUCUCUCUCUCUCUCUCUCUCUCUCUCUCUCUCUCUCCCUCUCUCUCUCUCUUUUAAAAAAUCAGCCAUUUGGGGUUUUAAGCCAUAAACGAUUUUUCUUGUUGCAGGGGAUUGCAGUGGCAAAGCUAGGCUAGGUCUUGGAAGCUGGUGUAAGGCGAUGCCGUGAAGGCAGGAGGCUGAUGGAGAGACUGGGGGGAAGAAAAGCAGAAAUGGAUUCACGGUGCCUUGGAUGGAGGACGAGAGGGGAACUGCAGGCUCCUUCCACUCGUUCUGUCCGGUGAGAAGUGAUCAAGCUUGGACUGACAAGAGGCUCAGGGAACCCUCACGUUCUUUUGCUUUUUUACCUGCCAAUCAAACUGCUACAAGACAACACCCUGAUCUGGCAUGGACAUGUCCAGUCCAUGUUUACCUUCAUAUUACCCCUCGAUUAAGCGGAAAGGACUGCUUUAUUUUGAAGAGUGCCGAGUAUAUGUGUUUUAAGAAGGCCAGUCUCAUCCUUUCCGGGUUCCCAGGGACUGAAGCAAACCAGAACUUAAGAGAAAAGAGGAGGAGAACCUUCAGGGGGCGGCAGGGUUGAUGGGAAAUAAUAACUUGCGAAGAAAAGUCUGCAGGAUUCUUUUUUCACAACUUUUCUGGGUUUCCACUGGCCAUACCUGGCUCGAGUUUGACAGUAACAGACAGGCUCGGGAGGGCAGAGAUUGGAGAAGGGGGAGGGCGGUUAUGGGAAGAAGGUUGGUAAGGAACAAAACAAUGCCCAGUUUUGUAAAGAUAAUAAAUGGAACGUGGCUGGUAGAUACUA